rnacentral:rRNA from 1 species
GACGAACGCUGGCGGCGUGCUUAAUACAUGCCAGUCGAACGGAAAGGCCCUGCUUGCAGGGUACUCGAGUGGCGAACGGGUGAGUAACACGUGGGUGAAUUGCCCUGCACUUCGGGAUAAGCCUGGGAAAGAGGGUCUAACACCGGACAGGAGCCAUAUUUAGUGUGAUGGUUGGAAAGUUUUUUCGGUGUAGGAUGAGCUCGCGGCCUAUCAGCUUGUUGGUGGGGUAAUGGCCUACCAAGGCGGCGACGGGUAGCCGGCCUGAGAGGGUGGACGGCCACAUUGGGACUGAGGUGCGGCCCAGGCUCCGACGGGAGGCCGCAGGGGGGAAUAUUGCACAAUGGGCGCAAGCCUGGUGCAGCGACGCCGCGGGGGGUAUAACUGCCUUCGGGUUGUAAACUCAUUUCGCUAGGGACGAUGCUUUUUGUGACGGUACCUAGAUAAGAAGCACCGGCUAACUACGUG